ACAGUGUCACGGUAGUAAUUCAACCUAGUACGAGAGGAAUCGUUGAUUCACACAAUUUGUCAUCGCGCUUGGUUGAAAAUCCAGUGGUGCGAAGCUACCGCGUGCCGGAUUAUGACUGAAUGCCUCUAAGUCAGAAUCCAAGCUAGCAUGCGACGCUUGCGCUCACUGCUAGCCCCGACCCACAUUAGGGGCGCUUGUGCUCCCAAGGGCCUGUGCCAUUGGCUAAGCCGGUUCGGCCGACGUGUCGUGACCGGCCGCCUCGAAGCUCCAUUCCCAACGGGCGGCGGGCUGUAUCCUUUGCAGACGACUUAAAUAAGCGACGUGCAUUGUAAGUGACAGUGUGGCCUUGCUACCACGAUCCACUGGGAUCCAGCCCCAUGUCACAUAGAUUC
rnacentral:rRNA from 16 species